CACGGCGCACGGGUGGGUAACCAGUGGGCAAUCUGCCCUCUGAUGGGGAAUAACCCCGCGAAAGCGGGGCUAAUACCGCAUAACAUUUCGGGGACUUCGGAGCCUGAACUGAAAGCAGUAAUGCGUCGGAGGAGGAGCCCGCGCCCGAUUAGCUAGUUGGUGAGGUAACGGCUCACCAAGGCAAUGAUCGGUAGCUGGUCUGAGAGGAUGAUCAGCCACACUGGAACUGAGACACGGUCCAGACUCCUACGGGGGGCAGCAGUGGGGAAUCUUGCACAAUGGGCGAAAGCCUGAUGCAGCGACGCCGCGUGGGGGAUGAAGCUUUUCGGAGUGUAAACCCCUUUCGACUGGGACGAAACCCCGCAAGGGAUUGACGGUACCAGUAUAAGAAGCCCCGGCUAACUACGUGCCAGCAGCCGCGGUAAGACGUAGGGGGCCAGCGUUGUUCGGAAUUACUGGGUGUAAAGGGUUCGUAGGCGGUGCGGCAAGUUGGGAGUGAAAUCUCUGGGCUCAACCCAGAGGCUGCUUCCAA
rnacentral:rRNA from 1 species